GAGUGCAAUGGCGCAACCUCCGCCUCCUGGGUUCAAGCCAUUCGUCUGCCUCAGCCUUCUUGAGUAGCUGGGAUUACAGGCACCCGCCACCAUGCCCGGCUAAUUUUUGUAUUGUUAGUAGAGACGGGGUUUCUCCAUGUUGGUCAGGCUGGUCUCGAACUCCUGACCUCAGGUGAUCCACCUGCUUGGCCUCCCAAAGUGCUAGGAUUAUAGGCAUAAGCCACCACCGCCCCUGGCAAACAAAACACUUUUCUAGAAAGUCAGUGAUUUGGAGUUGUGAGGUACUUUAGACCUUGUUAUUGAAAAUACGCUCUGUUGGCCAGCAGCACCAGCAUCCCCUGCUAAAUUGUUAGAAAAGUGGAAUCUCAGGCUCCACCCAAAAUUACUGAAUCUGAAUAUGCAUUUUAUCUAACUAGUUCUCAAGUGAUAAACAGGGAGGUGAAAGUUUGAGAGGUACUGCUAUAGACAUCAUCUAUGUUUUCUAAUCUUGGCUGCAUAUCACUGUAAGGAGCUUUUAAAAUAUAUGAAUACCUUUGCCCUAUCUCUAAAGAAUUUGAUGUUCAGUCAGGAUUGAGGACCACUGUUUGUAGCCCAAUAUCCUGUGUAACUGAGUUACUUAACCUUUCUGUGCCUGUUUUCUUAUGUGUUAAAUGGAGCUACCAAUAUCCUCUAGCCAAAGACCAUAAGGAAUAUACCAUAAUUAAACAGUUCCUUCAGUGGCUUGCUGCAGUAAGGAAAAUACCACACCAAAAGAGGCCAUGAGUCAUUUCAGAAACAAUGUGUUAGGGUAAGGUUGUUUACAGGCUAUGAACUUGUGUUAGGUCAUGUGGGAGAGAAUUCAAAGUGUUGUUUUGCUCUGAAUUGAGUGCUGUCUAGAAGUGGGAACAAUUCUAUUACGCCUUAAUAAUUUUUAUAUAGGAGAUGAGAGGAAUAAAGCAAAUUAAAGGCUGUAAUUUGUAAACAAGUAGUCACUCAUAUUAGCUAAAUGAGGGGGAUAUUUGGUCAUUUUUAAUGGGUUGGAUUGUUCUUGUUUUUUCUGUUUGGACACAACUUUAGAGAGACCUUGUUUUUGUCUUGCUACAUCAUGGUCAGAGUAGCCUAGUCUGCUGCUGGUGUACAUGAAAUUGUCUGUGUCCAACAUGUAGUAACUAUAAAAGCUGUUGAUAAAAUAUUUCACUUUUUUUUUAAAGGAACAGGGUCUAACUCUGUUGCUCAGGAUGGAGUAUGGUGACGUGAUCAUAGCUCACUGUAACCUUGAACUCUUGG
rnacentral:lncRNA from 1 species